rnacentral:rRNA from 1 species
CCUACGGGAGGCAGCAGUGGGGAAUCUUGGACAAUGGGCGCAAGCCUGAUCCAGCCAUGCCGCGUGUGUGAUGAAGGCCUUAGGGUCGUAAAGCACUUUCGCCAGRGAUGAUAAUGACAGUAUCUGGUAAAGAAACCCCGGCUAACUCCGUGCCAGCAGCCGCGGUAAUACGGAGGGGGUUAGCGUUGUUCGGAAUUACUGGGCGUAAAGCGCACGUAGGCGGAUUAGUMAGUCAGAGGUGAAAUCCCAGGGCUCAACCCUGGAACUGCCUUUGAUACUGCUAGUCUUGAGUUCGAGAGAGGUGAGUGGAAUUCCGAGUGUAGAGGUGAAAUUCGUAGAUAUUCGGAGGAACACCAGUGGCGAAGGCGGCUCACUGGCUCGAUACUGACGCUGAGGUGCGAAAGUGUGGGGAGCAAACAGGAUUAGAUACCCUGGUAGUCCACACCGUAAACGAUGAAUGCCAGUCGUCGGGYAGUAUACUAUUCGGUGACACACCUAACGGAUUAAGCAUUCCGCCUGGGGAGUACGGUCGCAAGAUUAAAACUCAAAGGAAUUGACGG